CUUAAUACAAUGUUGGGUAGAAGAUGCUGGAGAAUGAACUUAAGCGUAAUUUGGAUGCCGUUUAUGAUGUGGAUUUAUGUUCUUCUCAGUCUUCCACUAAACCGCGUAUGGGUGAUUGUGAGAACAAUGAAGAUCCGCCUAUAUAUCUUGAAGAUCAGACCAUAAAUCUUGAAGGUAUGUUGUUUUACUCGGUUGUUUAUGUAGUAUACAUCUUUAAUCUAAGAGAUUGAACAUGUUUAUUUUUUUCUUAAACCAAAAUCUACAUCAGAUGUUUUUUGUUGAUUUUUGUUAUGUAUAAAAUCAAGUUUUCGGGUUUUUCUUAAUCAUCUAUUCCACAUUUAUCGCAGUUAAUGAUUUUGGUUGUUGUAUUUUUUCAUGUGAUUCCUUACAUCCGUUAUAACAAUCUGAAUCCCACCAUUCGUCAAGCAACAGAGUUAUAGAUAUUUAUUUCUGAACCGAGUCUGUCCUCCAUAGUUUUUUCUGAUGUGAAGAGCUUUUUUCAGACUCCUUCCCCUACAAGGAACUAUUGAAUGGGUUCCUAUGAGAAGUUGAAGGAAAGGUAUAUCUUGCACUGUUUUUUAUGGAUAAUGAAAACAAUGCUCCUUCGUUAUUAAAGUCGAUUGAGGACUAUGAUCCUAUAUUUUUCGAAUUGUUCGUCGACCAAAAAGAGUUAUGGAUCAUGAAAACAACGCUCCUUCGUUGUUAAAGUUGAUUGGGGACUAUGAUCCUAUAUUUUUGGUGUUUAUUUUGGAUGGUCCGGAGUUUUUGGCUGCAACUAUGUUGGACAGAGAUAUGCUUGCUAUUGCUAUAAAUUGGUACCAUGUCGGUUGGUUUUGAUUCGUAAGAUUUGUGACGAUGCGUCGGACAAACAACAUUGGGAAAAUAUACAGCCUUGAUCCUUGGUAAGUUAACACAUUAGUUAAGGUUAUGAUGUUUUUUCAUGGCACCGACACAUUAUUGAGUAGUAGCGCAUUAGGUUAGUGAUAUUAAAAUUUGUGCCUUGAGAAAUUUUGUAUAUUGAUUGAUGUUUGAAAUUGAUUGUGAGGUAUUUGAUUGUGCAUUG